rnacentral:rRNA from 1 species
GUGAGGAAUAUUGGACAAUGGAUGGAAAUCUGAUCCAGCCAUGCCGCGUGCAGGAAGACGGCCCUAUGGGUUGUAAACUGCUUUUAUACGGGAGCAAUAAGGUCUAUGCAUAGAUUGAUGAGAGUACCGUAUGAAUAAGCAUCGGCUAACUCCGUGCCAGCAGCCGCGGUAAUACGGAGGAUGCGAGCGUUAUCCGGAUUUAUUGGGUGUAAAGGGUGCGUAGGCGGCUUUGUAAGUCAGCGGUGAAAUUUUGCAGCUUAACUGUAAAAGCGCCGUUGAUACUGUGAAUCUAGGAUUUGGUUGCUGUGGGCGGAAUGUGUGGUGUAGCGGUGAAAUGCAUAGAGAUCACACAGAAUAUCGAUUGCGAAGGCAGCUCACAAAGCCAAUAUUGACGCUGAGGCACGAAAGUGUGGGGAUCAAACAGGAUUAGAUACCCUGGUAGUCC